rnacentral:rRNA from 1 species
UGAGUACGAGCUGCUACGGCAGCGAAGUGGGUGAUGUCAAGCUUCCAAGAAAAGCCCUAUACCCGUUAAGGCAUGAUGGCCUGUACCCGAAACCGACACAGGUGGGGUGGUAGAGAAUACCGAGGGGCGCGAGAUAACUCUCUCUAAGGAACUCGGCAAAAUGGCCCCGUAACUUCGGGAGAAGGGGUGCCACCGCAAGGUGGUCGCAGUGAAGAGGCCCAGGCGACUGUUUACCAAAAACACAGGUCUCCGCUAAGUCGCAAGACGAUGUAUGGGGGCUGACGCCUGCCCAGUGCCGGAAGGUUAAGGAAGCUGGUCAGCGCAAGCGAAGCUAGCGACUGAAGCCCCGGUGAACGGCGGCCGUAACGAUAACGGUCCUAAGGUAGCGAAAUUCCUUGUCGGGUAAGUUCCGACCCGCACGAAAGGCGUAACGAUCUGGGCGCUGUCUCGGAGAGAGGCUCGGCGAAAUAGAAUUGUCUGUGAAGAUGCGGACUACGUGCACCCGGACAGAAAGACCCUAUGAAGCUUUACUGUAGCUUGGUAUUGUGCUCGGGCUCGGAAUGCGCAGGAUAGGUGGGAGGCUAUGAACCAUUGCUUGUGGGUGAUGGUGAGCCACUGGUGAGAUACCACUCUUUCCGAGCUAGAGUUCUAACAGCCACCCGUUAUCCGGGGGCUGGACAGUAUCAGGUGGGCAGUUUGACUGGGGCGGUCGCCUCCUAAAAGGUAACGGAGGCGCGCAAAGGUUUGCUCAGGCUGGUUGGAAAUCAGCCGACGAGUGUAAAAGCAGAAGCAAGCUUGACUGUGAGACCUACAAGUCGAACAGGGAGGAAACUCGGCUUUAGUGAUCCGACGGUUCUGCGUGGAAGGGCCGUCGCUCAACGGAUAAAAAGUUACUCUAAGGAUAACAGGCUGAUCUCCCCCAAGAGUUCACAUCGACGGGGAGGUUUGGCACCUCGAUGUCGGCUCAUCGCAACCUGGGGCUGAAGUCGGUCCCAAGGGUUGGGCUGUUCGCCCAUUAAAGCGGUACGCGAGCUGGGUUCAGAACGUCGUGAGACAGUUCGGUCCAUAUCCGGUGCAUGCGCAGGAAUAUUGAGAGGAUUUCUCCCUAGUACGAGAGGACCGGGAGGAACGCACCUCUGGUGUACCAGUUAUCGUGCCAACGGUAAACGCUGGGUAGCCAUGUGCGGAGAGGAUAACCGCUGAAAGCAUCUAAGUGGGAAGCCCACCUCAAGAUGAGUAUUCCCAUGGGUUAACCCAGUAAGGUCACGGGAAGAACACCCGUUGAUAGGCUCUACGUGGAAGCGCAGUAAUGUGUGAAGCGGAGGAGUACUAAUAGACCGAGGGCUUGACC